UGCCUACGGGGGGCAGCAGUGGGGAAUAUUGCACAAUGGGCGAAAGCCUGAUGCAGCAACGCCGCGUGAAGGAAGACGGUUUUCGGAUUGUAAACUUCUGUUCUUAGUGAAGAAUAAUGACGGUAACUAAGGAGCAAGCCACGGCUAACUACGUGCCAGCAGCCGCGGUAAUACGUAGGGGGCAAGCGUUAUCCGGAUUUACUGGGUGUAAAGGGGGCGCAGACGGCAGCGCAAGCCAGGAGUGAAAGCCCGGGGCCCAACCCCGGGACUGCUCUUGGAACUGCGCGGCUGGAGUGCAGGAGGGG
rnacentral:rRNA from 1 species